rnacentral:rRNA from 1 species
UAGGGAAUCUUCCACAAUGGACGCAAGUCUGAUGGAGCAACGCCGCGUGAGUGAAGAAGGCUUUCGGGUCGUAAAACUCUGUUGUUGGAGAAGAAUGGUCGGCAGAGUAACUGUUGUCGGCGUGACGGUAUCCAACCAGAAAGCCACGGCUAACUACGUGCCAGCAGCCGCGGUAAUACGUAGGUGGCAAGCGUUAUCCGGAUUUAUUGGGCGUAAAGCGAGCGCAGGCGGUUUUUUAAGUCUGAUGUGAAAGCCCUCGGCUUAACCGAGGAAGUGCAUCGGAAACUGGGAAACUUGAGUGCAGAAGAGGACAGUGGAACUCCAUGUGUAGCGGUGAAAUGCGUAGAUAUAUGGAAGAACACCAGUGGCGAAGGCGGCUGUCUGGUCUGUAACUGACGCUGAGGCUCGAAAGCAUGGGUAGCGAACAGGAUUAGAUACCCUGGUAGUCCAUG